UACAGAGGGUGCAAGCGUUGUUCGGAAUUAUUGGGCGUAAAGAGCUCGUAGGCGGUCUGUCGCGUCUGCUGUGAAAACUCAGGGCUUAACCCUGAGCUUGCAGUGGGUACGGGCAGACUAGAGUGCGGUAGGGGGAGACUGGAAUUCCCCGGUGUAGUGGUGAAAUGCGUAGAUAUCGGGAGGAACACCAGUGGCGAAGGCGGCUUCCUGGCCUGUUCUUGACGCUGAUGAGCGAAAGCUAGGGGAGCAAACGGG
rnacentral:rRNA from 1 species